GACGAACGCUGGCGGCGUGCCUAAUACGUGCAAGUCGAGCGGACAGAUGGGAGCUUGCUCCCUGAAGUCAGCGGCGGACGGGUGAGUAACACGUGGGCAACCUGCCUGUAAGACUGGGAUAACUUCGGGAAAUCGGAGCUAAUACCGGAUACGUUCUUUCCUCGCAUGAGGAAAGAUGGAAAGAUGGUUUCGGCUAUCACUUACAGAUGGGCCCGCGGCGCAUUAGCUAGUUGGUGGGGUAAUGGCCCACCAAGGCGACGAUGCGUAGCCGACCUGAGAGGGUGAUCGGCCACACUGGGACUGAGACACGGCCCAGACUCCUACGGGAGGCAGCAGUAGGGAAUCUUCCGCAAUGGACGAAGGUCUGACGGAGCAACGCCGCGUGAGCGAAGAAGGCCUUCGGGUCGUAAAGCUCUGUUGUCAGGGAAGAACAAGUGCCAGAGUAACUGCUGGCACCUUGACGGUACCUGACCAGAAAGCCACGGCUAACUACGUGCCAGCCGCCGCGGUAAAAC
rnacentral:rRNA from 1 species